UUCCCGUUUCAUGAGAAUCAAUCACGUCGUUACGUUAUGACACAUUACGGACGUUUGUGUUCUUCAGGGUCGACCGACAUUACGUAACUUUUCUACCUUAAAACGAAGGCAGAACAGACCUUUGAUUCUCUGCCCAGAACUGCUGCUGAAGGUCGGGCUCGCACGCACAGAAUUAUAUUUCUAUGAUAAACUUAGUCGUACUGAAGCUCAGGGACUUUGUGAGUCCGAACAAUGGAAAUAGUUUUGGGCCAUGAGCCGGACCCGAACCAGAAUAAAUAAAUAAAUGUAAAGUUAAUUACAAGCUAAGGUAAACUACAUUGUGCAAAUAAUUAUCAAAACAUAUAAAAAUGUUCAUCUAUUAAAAAUAUUUAAAUAUUAAAUUCAGUUGGGGUCCAAUCAGGAUCGGACGGAGAAUAAAGGCUCUCCUUCGGACCGCUGGGAGGACGAGGUGGAGCGGCGCUGAAAUGGGCGCCAGAACCAGAGACGGGCGAUGUAACCGGGCUCAGCAGCUUCUGUUGGACAGAACUAAUGACGGAGGGUCAGAGGACGCUGACGGACAGACGGCGAGCUGUUGAGUUUGAGGCUGCUUGUUUGAUGUUUGAUGUCAGCAAAGACGUUUUUUAUUAUAAUCUUGAAUUCCACCAGCUGUGGCAUCUGUGUGCGGUAUUUUAUUUUGAAAAUCAACUGGAUUCUCUACGCAGUUUCUGUGUCUGACUUCCUGCCACGUGCGAUCGGCUGCCGGUGUCAAUCAGAUGUUUUUAACCUUUUAAUAUCUUUAAUAUAAUUAAUAACAAAGUCAACCUAAGUGAUGAAAGGUUUUCUCUGUGUAGUGACGAGGACGUAGGAGGAUGCUAACUGCGUUUUCACAAUAAAGCUCCAACCUUAAACCUUGAA